GCCAGAUGUGGUGGCAUGCAUCUGUAGUCCCAGCUACUCAGGAGACUGAGACAGGAGGAUUGCUUGAGUCCAGGAGUUCUGGGCUAUAGUGCACUAUGCUGAUUGGGUGUCUGCACUAAGUUCAGGAUCAAUAUGGUGACCUCCUGGGAGUGGGGGUCCACCAGGUUGCCUUAGGAGGGGUGAACUGGCUCAGGUCAGAAACACAGCAGGUCAAAGCUCCUGUGCUGAUCAGUAGUGGGAUUGUACCUAUGAAUAGCCAUUGCACU
rnacentral:SRP_RNA from 1 species